rnacentral:rRNA from 1 species
GGUGAGUAACGCGUAGGUAAACUACCAUAGGGACCUGGAUAGCCCUACGAAAGUAGGAUUAAUACGGGAUGUGCUUAUAUUUUCAUAAGAUUUUAUAAGUAAAUAGUUUUUCUGCUCUAUGAUGUGCCUGCGUUAGAUUAGUUUGUUGGUGGGGUAAUGGCCUACCAAGGCUGCGAUCUAUAGCCGGGCUGAGAGGCUGACCGGCCAUAUUGGGACUGAGACACGGCCCAGACUCCUACGGGAGGCAGCAGCUAAGAAUCUUCCGCAAUAGUCGAUAGACUGACGGAGCGACGCCGCGUGAGUGAUGAAGGCCUUUUAGGUUGUAAAACUCUUUUAUAUUGGAAGAAUAUAUAGUAUUAGACUAUAUUGACUGUACUUUAUGAAUAAGGUCCGGCUAACUACGUGCCAGCAGCCGCGGUAAUACGUAGGGACCGAGCGUUGUUCGGAAUUAUUGGGCGUAAAGGGUAUGUAGGCGGUCUAUUAAGUUAGAUGUGAAAAAUCUGGGCUCAACCGAGAUCUUGCGUCUAAUACUGAUAGGCUAGAGUCUCUGAGAGGAAGGCGGAAUUCCUGGUGUAGGGGUGAAAUCUAUAGAUAUCAGGAAGAACACCGGUUGCGAAGGCGGCCUUCUGGCAGAGGACUGACGCUGAGGUACGAAAGUUAGGGUAGCAAACAGGAUUAGAGACCCUGGUAGUCCUAACCGUAAACGUUGUAUACUAGGUGGUUGAAGUAUUGAUCCUUUGACUGCCGCAGCAAACGCAUUAAGUAUACCGCCUGGGGAGUAUGCCGGCAUCGGUGAAACUCAAAGGAAUUGACGGGGCUCCGCACAGGCAGUGGAGCAUGUUGCUUAAUUCGCUGAUACGCGAGUAACCUUACCAGGUCUUGACAUAUACCUGUCUGGUGUAGAAAUACAUCAUUGCUUCGGCAUGGGUAUACAGGUGGUGCAUGGUGGUCGUCAGCUCGUGCCAUGAGGUGUUGGGUUAAGUCCCGCAACGAGCGCAACCCUUAUUCUUUGUUGCUAACAGGUUAAGCUGAGCACUCUAAGGAGACUGCCGGUGACAAACCGGAGGAAGGUGGGGACGACGUCAAAUCAUCACGGCCCUUAUGACCUGGGCUGCAAACGUGCUACAAUGGGUGGUACAAAGAGUUGCGAGACCGCGAGGUGGAGCUAAUCUCAAAAAACUAUCCUCAGUUCG